ensembl:lincRNA 1700001L05Rik RIKEN cDNA 1700001L05 gene
ACGGCAGUUGGUCUCUGAGGCGGCGGCGGUAACAGUUAAUCUCAGGAGGUCCUGCUCGGUCCGGGCGCCAUGCCUCUGGAUCGUCAGGUGGCCAUGGGGAACCUUGGCAAUCAGGACAUACUGGCCAUCUUCUACCGCCUGCGCUUCGUGCUUAGCAACCACAUAGAGGCCGCCUGGCGAGCCCGGAACCCGGCAAUGGACGUGGGAGGAGGAGGAGAAGGCGCCCGGUUGGUCAACGGUCGUAUUCGCCCACGCGGGUUCUGAGUGACUUGGAGCACUGCUCGCCCUCGCCCCAGAAUGCCUGGCAUAGGAUAUGACUGUCAAUAUUUAGCUCAACAAGAAGACAUGGCAUUUACACACAAAAGGAAGACAUGAUUCAUUGGUUUUAAGUAAAUACAACAUAAUGCAUCCUAAAAGUGCCUGGACUCUAGGGCUGACUGAUGGAGGACCCACCAUGACCCAUUAAUCCCCUAAUAAUUAACACAUGGAAUGGGGUACCAGUGAUGAAAAAUGACCACAAUUAACUCCCUUUCAAGACUCAUUCCCAGAUAUCUGAUCUGACCAAAACUGGGAUCUCUGGGUCCUUAAUUAACAGUGAAACAUCCUCUCAUUCUCUUGGUUCUGCUUCUGUUGAGAGGCCCUGCUUAAAUCACUUUCUUCAGCUCGUUGAAAGCAGCAGGACAAAAAAAGCACUGCUACUACCACAAAGGAAGCUGGGCCACUUACCUUUGAAGAUGGCUUGCACACCUCAUCUUUAAGUCUUUCCCUAAGAAUGGAUGGUUUCAAAUGUGGGAGCAAGAGUUUUCAGAGCCUACGUUCGCCAUGUUCAGGUCCAGUCCCUGUGCUUCUCCAUGGCCCAUCAUUCUCCCUGUGUCUGCUCUGCCUCUCACUGGAUAGAUGUAGGUGAGAGAUGUGCACCCCAGUACUCACUGUUUUGGGUCCCAAGUAUACAUCUACAUUGAUGGCAUAGCUAUGAGCGUAGCUGCCCCUUCCUCAUUCACCACAUGCCUGUGUUCAUUUUGUCAUUGGUGAGCACUGUGUUGUGCAACCUUCUAGCCUAGAUCUGGCCCCAGCAUCCUGAAGCAUAUGAGGCACCUUAGAGAAAAGGUCUAAAUGGGCCUUAUAAGAAAAUGAGAAUACUUUCUGUUGCAUUGUGUUUUGAGUCUUAAGUUACAGGCACAAAGCUGCAUGAAUUAAACAUUCCUAAAGUCUGUCUACUCAGCCUCUUACACUAGUCUGUCCACAGGAAAGGCAUUGAAAUAAAAGGAAAGAUGAAGAGCAAUACAGUCCA